UAACUACUCCCUCCGUCUCAAAAUUCUUGUCUUAGAUUUGUCUAGAUACGGAUGUACCUAAUACUAAAACGUGACUUGAUACAUCCGUAUUUAGACAAAUCUAAGACAAGAAUUUUGGGACGGAGGGAGUAAUAA
rnacentral:pre_miRNA from 1 species